ACACGUAAAAGGAGCUCAUUCGGAGGCAGGGGCACGCGCUUGUCCCCAGAACUCAAACCCCAGAGUCCCUCCGGCAGAUGAGAGUGGAGGUUGUAAAUCACCCUCCAUGCAAUGGUUCAUCAUAAAGGAUAUGGAGCAAAAUUAGAGGAGGCACGAGAAGGAAAGCCGGUGAUGAACAAGGAAAGUGCCUGGUUGAAGCUAGCUUGCAAUCCCAAAGUCAGAAGGUUGCCUGGGAAGCCAUGAAACAAAGCCAAAUCAAGGCAAAGCAGACACAUGGAGAUUUUGAGACUGAGAAGAGGAAAACUGAGGACAUUCAUGUGAGAUGGUUUCAAGUUUCCCUUAGAAGGAGAAGUUAUCUUCAGAAGGUCAGGUUGGUGAGGUGGGAGUUCAAAAACAACAAAGUAUGUAGCUACCAUUGUGAGGAAGACCAUGGAAAAUGGACGAAUCAGAAUGAAAGGCUUUCUGAACAAGAGUAAGUACCCCCACUGAUGUGGCUUGGUGGUAUCACCACCCAAAUCUCAUCUUGAAUUGUAGCUCCCACAAUUCCCAGGGAGUUUCCCUGCACAAGCUCCCUCCUGCCUGCUGCCAUGUGAGACCUGCGUUUUGCCUUCCACCAUGACUGUGAGGCCUCUUCCCCGGCCAUGUGGAACUCCCAGAGACAGAAGCAGAUAAUGCAAGUGUCAUCUACAUCUGGCAAAAGCCAAAGGUUUGGAAGAUGGAAAAAGGAAUCCAGGCAAAAAGGAGCCCAAGAUUGAAGUGAAUGACCAGGUGCACCAGUUCAAAUGCAAUCAGGAGGGACAGGGGUAGAGGGAGAAGCCUAGAGCAGCGCUUCUCAAACUGACUAUUCAAGUCACCUGGAGAUCUUGGUGAAAUGCAGACUCUGGUGCAGUAGGUCCUGGCGGGAACUUGAAAUUCUGCAUUUUGACCAAGGUCCAAGGUGAAUGUCCAGUGCUGUUGUCCUUGGCCUGCAGCAGGAGGAGCAGGGAUCUAAGACUUGGAGAGCAAAUGUCAAGCUCAGAAGAAAGACUGGAAGUUUGGGGACAAAACCCAAAUAUGGCUAAAGAAAGCCUGUAGGAUGAAGUUGGAAGUUCCAGAGCCUUCUCUUCACAUAAUGGGACAUGCAAGGGGGAAACCAAAUCAAAAGUGUAGAAUGCGUCGCUGGAUGUCUUUGACAUGUUAUUGUUCUGAUAGAAUAUCAGCGGGGAGCUACUGAGGACCUCCUCACUACCCUCCCUUGGAAGAGUUUGUCUGCAAUGGAGCCAACACAGUGGAAAGCAGAGCUGAGAAAUGGACAAACAACUCCUGAUGCCUCAUUUGAGCACCUGGAUUUAGCCAUGUCUGAAGCUAUUAAUCUUCCCCACCAAGUUAGAACCUGUGUCAUGUUCCUCUGAACUGUGUUUGUCCCCUUCGGGGGACCCCACAUGCUACGGACACCUGAUGAUUCGACCUGUUCACCAUCCCUUCAGCCCUGAACUGGCAACAGUAUCCUCAUUAUUCAUGAGAAAACGAUUCCUCCUCCCUUCCCAGACCAUGAGGAUUGAGUGGAAUUCACUCCAUCCUUCUCAGCUCCCUGGUGAGUAGGUGGCUGGAACUAGUCAAUGAGUAUAUUUCAACCCAGGGAUGGGAAUGUAGCCAACUCUGAACAAUGAGAGUCAGCCUCAGGAUUCUAAUGGAAGUGUCUGUAAGAAAACUCUGUCUCCACCAGACCAGAAACUGGCAGGGUACAAGCCUACAACUGUUGGCAGCCACCUUACCACCACCCAGGGAGUCUGUGGCUGGGCUCCCUAAGAAGAAGACUCUGAGGCAAGGAUUUCUGUGCAAGAGGUUUAUUUUGGAGACUCCCAGGAAGCAUGGGAAGGAGAAUAGGAAAGUGAGACAGGAAAGAGAAGGGGGCUAAAUCAGAGUGCAUUGGAGAGCAGGCUGCCACAGCGGGCAACUGAGGCUUAGCACUGUUGGAAACAUCUGGAGAAAAUAUAGAACAUGUCCAGGAGUCCUCCCAACCAAAGACCGUAGUAAUUCAUUGUUGAAUCUACUAAAUCGAUCUGUCUUUGGCUGAAGGCUGCUACCAGGGCUGUUAACUCCCUGGUUCUUCUGCCUGCCCACAACAGACUGAACCAGCCCCUGUGGGAAGAGAAAGCCCCCAGGCUGAGAAUCAACUGAGCUGCAUUGAGGAGCCCCAGGUGUGUGUCCAGGAAUGCCAAGUGCAGAAGGGCUAUGCACGGGGCACCAUCAUGACCUGCUGCAGAGACCGUCCCUGAGAACAGAGGAGCAGAGAGAGAGAAGAGCAAGAGAUGGGCAAGGACAGAGUCACAAUCCCAGUGUCUGGCCCCUGCCUCCGGCCUUGUCUCAGCUAGCUCUGUCACUGGACUUUCAUUUGUCUGGGACCAAUAUCUCUCUUCCUUCCUAAAGAUGACUGCAGACUGGUUUCUGCCCUGUGUAAUGAAAAGAUCAUGAUGUGCACAGCUUUUUACCCCAUCUUAAGAAUAUUUGAGCACUUAUCUCCAUAGAGGGCAGAAUCUGUAAUGAAUUUACUUUUCAGUCCUCCAUAACACCUGUCGCAAGGUUUGUACAGUUUUCAAGAAAUACUGGGUAGAUGAAUGAAUGGAUACUGAAAAGACCCACUAAAAUUUAAUGCAAAUCUGUAACAACAGAUGCCCAUUUAAGGCACAUGGCAGAGGGCAAGGUGGCAUAGGGAGAAAGCAGUUGGAGCAGAUUCAUCCUGGCAGUGGCACCCUGUGAGGAGGGGUACUGGCAGGUCCCACUGGGGCUCCCAAGUGAAAAAGUGCCAGUGUUAGUUCCUGCUACCAAGAAACCUAGAGCUUCUCUGGUUCUAGUUUUUUCCAAAGGCUCAUUUUCCAGCUUUUCCUUCCAUUCUGAGAGCUAUACCAUAGCUUCCAUUAAUUCUUUAUUGUUUGUUAAUUUGGCCUAAUACUGUGACUCAGUCUCUGUCACUUGCCACCCUAGAACCCUAGCCAGCACAGAAAUGACGGAGUGAAACCACCUCCACACAAACCAGUGCUGCUUCCUCUCUUCACAGUUGCAGAUUCUGUCUCUAGUGGCAGCAUUAAGGGAGAUUGUGUCAUCAAGCCUGCUUUGCUCUAAGAUGCUGACUUUAACAGAUUAGAAAUGUUCCCGGCACAGCCCACGCUUCUGCUAAUAAAUGAUUCCAUAUCUAUCAUGAAUGAAUUUCAAGUCUUCCAUUACUGGGCUGUGUACCUACUCACGAAGUACAUUUCCAGGCGAUUUUGUCUGAAUUACAUGGUUAAUUGCCUCAUAUUUUCAGCUCA
rnacentral:lncRNA from 1 species